rnacentral:rRNA from 1 species
GGGCGAGCGGCGGACGGGUUAGUAACGCGUGGGAACGUGCCCAGAUCUACGGAAUAGCCACUGGAAACGGUGAGUAAUACCGUAUACGCCCUUCGGGGGAAAGAUUUAUCGGAUUUGGAUCGGCCCGCGUUAGAUUAGGUAGUUGGUGGGGUAACGGCCUACCAAGCCUACGAUCUAUAGCUGGUUUUAGAGGAUGAUCAGCAACACUGGGACUGAGACACGGCCCAGACUCCUACGGGAGGCAGCAGUGGGGAAUCUUGGACAAUGGGGGCAACCCUGAUCCAGCCAUGCCGCGUGAGUGAAGAAGGCCCUAGGGUCGUAAAACUCUUUCGCCUGUGAUGAUAAUGACAGUAGCAGGUAAAGAAACCCCGGCUAACUCCGUGCCAGCAGCCGCGGUAAUACGGAGGGGGUUAGCGUUGUUCGGAAUUACUGGGCGUAAAGCGCACGUAGGCGGAUUAGAAAGUUAGAGGUGAAAUCCCGGGGCUCAACCCCGGAACUGCCUUUAAAACUACUAAUCUAGAGUUCGAGAGAGGUGAGUGGAAUUCCGAGUGUAGAGGUGAAAUUCGUAGAUAUUCGGAGGAACACCAGUGGCGAAGGCGGCUCACUGGCUCGAUACUGACGCUGAGGUGCGAAAGUGUGGGGAGCAAACAGGAUUAGAUACCCUGGUAGUCCACACCGUAAACGAUGAAUGCCAGUCGUCGGGUAGUAUACUAUUCGGUGACACACCUAACGGAUUAAGC